rnacentral:rRNA from 1 species
ACCCGCUGAACUUAAGCAUAUCAAUAAGCGGAGGAAAAGAAACCAACAGGGAUUGCCCUAGUAACGGCGAGUGAAGCGGCAACAGCUCAAAUUUGAAAUCUGGCCCUCGGGUCCGAGUUGUAAUUUGUAGAGGAUGCUUUUGGUGAAGUGCCUUCCGAGUUCCUUGGAACAGGACGCCUUAGAGGGUGAGAGCCCCGUACGGUUGGACACUAAGCCUCUGUAAAGCUCCUUCGACGAGUCGAGUAGUUUGGGAAUGCUGCUCUAAAUGGGAGGUAAAUUUCUUCUAAAGCUAAAUACCGGCCAGAGACCGAUAGCGCACAAGUAGAGUGAUCGAAAGAUGAAAAGUACUUUGAAAAGAGGGUUAAAUAGCACGUGAAAUUGUUGAAAGGGAAGCGUUUAUGACCAGACCUUUGUCUAGCGGAUCAUCCGGUGUUCUUCACCGGUGCACUUCGCUAGGCUUAGGCCAGCAUCGAUUUCUGUAGGGGGAUAAAGACCAUGGGAACGUAGCUCUCUCCGGGGAGUGUUAUAGCCCUAGGUGUAAUACCUUUACGGGGAUCGAGGUUCGCGCUUCUGCAGAUGCGCAUGCUGGCGUAAUGGUCAUCAACGACCCGUCUUGAAACACGGACC